UACGGAGGGUGCAAACGUUGCUCGGAAUCAUUGGGCGUAAAGCGCACGUAGGCGGUCCGAUAAGUCGGAUGUGAAAUCCCUCGGCUCAACCGAGGAAGGGCAUCCGAAACUGCCGGGCUUGAGUACGGAAGAGGGUCUCGGAAUUCCCGGUGUAGAGGUGAAAUUCGUAGAUAUCGGGAGGAACACCAGUGGCGAAGGCGGAGACCUGGGCCGAUACUGACGCUGAGGUGCGAAAGCGUGGGGAGCAAACAGG
rnacentral:rRNA from 1 species